rnacentral:tmRNA from 1 species
GGGGCCGACCGGUUUUGACAGCGAGGCCAAUUGAACUGUAAGCAUGUCGAGCGUUGAUUUGUUGCUCGUAAAUAUGAUGAAUCAACUUUUUAAAUGGCGAAAAUAAUUACGCUUUAGCUGCUUAAUCUGAAUUUUAGUAGGAUGGAGUCACGUCCCUGCAAGGCGGGGAGGCUGAAUGUUCCUGGGAAGCCCUUGUUGUUGGCGUCCCGCCAAGGAGCACCAUAAAAAGCAACAUAGAGAAUAAAGUGCUUCGAUUUAUUCUCAAAUCUUAAGAAGCUAAGCUCAUAUUAGGCGGUUUUUGGUCAGGUAUGUGUCGAAAAUUAAUCAAAAACUAAACAUGUAGAAAGCUUUUUGAUUGCUUGUUUGGACGAGAGUUCGAUUCUCUCCGGCUCCACAA